rnacentral:rRNA from 1 species
GACGAACGCUGGCGGCGUGCCUAAUACAUGCAAGUUGAGCGCUGAAGGCUGGUACUUGUACCAACUGGAUGAGCAGCGAACGGGUGAGUAACGCGUGGGGAAUCUGCCUUUGAGCGGGGGACAACAUUUGGAAACGAAUGCUAAUACCGCAUAAAAACUUUAAACACAAGUUUUAAGUUUGAAAGAUGCAAUUGCAUCACUCAAAGAUGAUCCCGCGUUGUAUUAGCUAGUUGGUGAGGUAAAGGCUCACCAAGGCGAGGAUACAUAGCCGACCUGAGAGGGUGAUCAGCCACACUGGGACUGAGACAGGGCCCAAACGCCUACGGGAGGCAGCAGGAGGGAAACGUGGGCAAGGGACGGAAGUCUGAGCGAGCAACGCCGCGGGAGGGAAGAAGGUUGUCGGAUCGUAAAUCUCGGUUGGUAGAGAAGAACGUUGGUGAGAGUGGAAAGCUCAGCAAGUGACGGUAACUACUCAGAAAGGGACGGCUAACUACGUG